CCUACGGGGCGCAGCAGUGGGGAAUAUCGGGCAAUGGGCGCAAGCCUGACCCAGCAACGCCGCGUGAAGGAAGAAGGCUUUCGGGUUGUAAACUUCUUUUGACAGGGAGGAGCAGAAGACGGUACCUGUCGAAUAAGCCACGGCUAACUACGUGCCAGCAGCCGCGGUAAUACGUAGGGGGCAAGCGUUAUCCGGAUUUACUGGGUGUAAAGGGAGCGUAGACGGAAAGGCAAGUCAGAAGUGAAAACCCAAGGCUCAACCAUGGGACUGCUUUUGAAACUGUCAAACUAGAGUACGGGAGAGGU
rnacentral:rRNA from 1 species